UAAGUUUUAAGCUAACAAAACUAAAGAUCUUCAAAAUCUUAAUUAUAGGUAUACUCCUGUAAACUUAA
rnacentral:tRNA from 1 species